rnacentral:ncRNA from 1 species
UCCCCCGCUUCACCUCCCUGAGCGGGUGCCUUAUUCCUGUAAGGCAUGUUGCCCCCGGCCCCCCUUUGCCGGGGGCUUUUUUU